AACCCAUGUUGAGUACAAUUCCGCAAGAGGUCCUUGAAUCACUCCCAAGCCUCAAACAAGGAUUCAACCUCCAUCUAAAUAAAUGAUGAUAUCUCAUUGCGAAGCUU